AGAGAAUGAUGAUUUUACAAUUUUCAUAAUGCCUCUGAAAUUCUCUUAACAUUUUCUUAAAUAUCCUUAGUACACCAUGUAUAAUUGUGAAUAUUUAACUUCAAUAUAUCUGAUAUUUCUGUUUUCUUCAUGCUUUCUUAGUAUAUUUUGUACAUGCAUGUGGUUAGUCCAAACUCUUCUAUGGAAGCACAUAGAAUUUACCAUCAGGAAUGAAACUUGUAAUGAAAAGGGAUUGAUGUAGCAAAGGUGUUUGACGUUAUGCCUAAAAGUACUUUUCUCCCUUCCUUUUUCCGGGUAUUCUAUAAUUUAAUCUAUUAUCCAACACCCAAAGAUGCAUCACUUACAUUUUUAAUGACUGAAAAAAGGUCCACUUAGCAUAUUUUUAAGUCGUUUUCUAUGUCAAGUUCUGAAAAGGAUAAAUAUAAUAAAAUCCAUAACCAGAACAUCAAAAGCAAAAAGGAAAGGAAUGAUUGAAAUAAAAAAAGAGAAAAAGAGCGACAAAUAUGGAAACGUGAUAGUAGUACCUACUAAAAAAUCACCUUUAAAUAGGAAAAAUGAUGAUUUUGCAAAUUUAAAAUGAAUGUAUGGCUUAAACUGAGGAUGAGAAUUUCCGGCAGGUUUUGAUUUGGAUUUCAACCUAUGCCCUGCAACCUUCAUCGGCUUCACCACACUUUUGUCCCUAAUUUUCAAUGCUUAUAGACAACAUUCUCUUCGUUAAGAAUCAGAAAAACUUAGAACCAAUUAUUUUCGGCAAAUUUUAAGGACUAUGGGAAGAACAAUUAGAGACGUUAUGUGAUAGUGACUAAAAAUAGAAAGCUAAAGAGAUGUUGUGAGAAGAAAGUGAGGACGACUCCAGGCAUCAAUGACCAACCUUCAGUAGUUUCAUGGCCCCAAAAAAAUUCAAAUCUUGGCUUCAUCAAAGUUCAAGAACCAAGUUUGCAAUUAGAUUAUCAACAACAUCAAACGUAAAGAGAAACCCUAAGGAGCCAUUGAUUAUUCCUCACAAUCAUCCUGAUUAUAGGAAAAGAAUUUGUGUGACACUCAAACUACUGCUGACAAGAUCAAGGAUUGAAAUUUGAAAAAUUCUCUAAUCUAUCGGAAGAGGAAGGUAUGUAAUGUUAUGUUUUCCAAUUGUUAAUUUCAAUACAAUAAAGGUGUUUCCACUAUUCUUUAUUGUAAUAAAAAUAAAGAUGUACAGGUUUAGUGUUUGAGAUAUUGUUAUGACGAGUAGUGUUGGAAAAAAUACUCUGGGUUACCAUUUCCCUCUCAAAAUGAGUAUUGUAACGUGUCAAUCCAAAAUAUAUUGUAAUGUCAGUAAUCAUCUAGGAUGUAGGAUCUGCUAUCCAUCUGUGUUAGGAGAUUGACAGAAUGGUUCUUUAUCAUUGCACCAAACCAAAAUAUUCUCUCAUGAGCUUUGUGUAUAUUUUUUAUUUUUUGGUUGUUGCACCUUUUGGAUUCGGAGAAGGAAAAAAAGUGGAAAGAAAGCCAAAGCAAAACAGCAGAGAAGAAUCACAUCAUGUAGUAGUAAAUAUUCUGAAAGAAGUGGAGUUCAACACUGUAAGUUAUACUCUUUUCAAUAGUAGCACGUAUUCUAAAAAAGUGGAUAUAGCACUAUAAAUGAUGCUAUUUUUACUUUGGCGAAGUGCUUAAGCUUCAUACGUUUGACUCUCCUAGAAUUUUUCUUAGCUUUAGAAACAUGAAUUCACUUUAAGUCAUUUUUCAGGUACAAUUAUAUUUAAAGAAAUCCAUAUCUUUUUCAGAAAGGGAAUUAAAGUUUUCCCUAAUAGUAGAAAAAAGUUGAUACAUCACCUAUAUUAUUAAUAAAGCAAAAGAUCCUGCUCAGUUUGGAUUACUGCUGAUCAUCUCUAUGUUACUCCAUCUCUGUAUUCAAAAGAAAUCAAUGCAGUUUUUUUUAAAGUAGUACUUCUAUAUUACUAACUUAUCUGUCAGAUUGGUGCUUAAUGCACGGUUAUAUAACUGAAAUUCAAGAAGAAUAAAAUAAACAAAAGAGUUGCAAUAACAAUAAUUUAUCCAGUCAUAAAUCUUGAAGUUUUUAUUUGGUCAUCUUUGGUUGCUAUAAUUUCUCGAACAUGUUGAACAUUUAGUCCAUGCGGAGCUAGCACUACUCAGAUGUACCACUGUCAUUUUUUCCUCUUCCCUUCCUGUGUAACACUUACUUUUACUUAUUGUUACUACCAGCUUAGCUAAAAGGUUGUGUUUAUAUUGUGGAUUCCAUAAUUUUGUUGUGAUGCUUCUGUUGAUGCUUCUACCUUCCCAUUGAAGGAUUGCUUUCUUACUCGAUGAGAAAAAUAAUAACUAUCUGUAUCUUUUAGCCUAUGCUAGCUCUUGGCUUUUGAGGUAGAGUGAAAGAAUCGCACUACUUGACAUCAUAAAUUUCUUUUACUUCAGGUAUAGUGCAAGGCUUCAUACUUGCUGUCUUUCUGUAGUUUCUUUAAGGAUUCGUACAAGGCAUAUUAUUGUAUAAUUGUCAAAUUUAAUGCAAAUAAUGAAAUUACAUUUUGAUGGGUAGAUUCUUGGCAGGGAGCAUAAUAUUUUAUAUUUGGGUUCAAGAAAUUUAGGAGAAUGGAUAGAGAAAUUUAAGCACAUCAAGAUGUAGCACUAAAACUAUGAAUAAUCUAACAUCACAGUCUUUCACCGGGAAGACAUGCUAUAUCAACUAUAUAUGUAUAUCAGACAUUAGCCUUAACUUUUGACAAGAGUAGCAUGGCUCACUAUAAAUCUUUAUUAUUUAUUGAACUUAGACUGACAUAUUUAAUACUCUUCUAAAUUGAGUAACUGGACUGGUGAAGAUAUAUUUUGUAUAUUGCUGAUAAAGUAUUAUAGAUUUUAUACUGCUCCUCUUCUAUCAGAAUAUGAAUUUAUGCAUUUGACAAUAUGCUCAGAAAAAGAAGAAGAAAUAAGUGGCCAUUCCUAAUAAGGUGCAAGUAAUUAAUGGCUAUACAACGAAUAAAGAGUUUUUCACGAAGUAGUCUCUUAGUUGGAGUAUAACUUCUAUGUUUUAAUUAAAGGUAAAUUAUGAAUAUUCAAAAUAGAGUCUUACAUCUCAUUCAACCAAAAAAAGGAAAAAGAUAGAUGAUACUAGUAUUUAGAUGACUGAUUUUACUGGGUAGAUUUGAUAUAAAAAAUGUUGCACAAAGGCAUAGAAAAAUAAAGCUCAAAUUCAGAUGAUCGGACUCUGACGCACAAAUGAAUAUGUAUAUUGAAGAGGAACUUCUUAUUUGAAAUUCUGUCAUCCUUGACAAGAUUUCAAUUUUUAUCUACUUAUUCUAUUUCUUUCCCCUGGAUUUAUCUUUUCCUUUGUGUGCAGCAAUAUACUUUUGGGUUUCUAGCUACGAUCUAUUAUGCAGUUAUAUGAGAAAGAUAACACUUAUGCGUUGUAGUUUAUAUGCAUUGAUUGUAGAACAUUUUUUUGUUUAGGUAUAUAGUGUUAUAUACAUAUAAUUGUGUUUGUGUCAAAUUAAAUAAUUUCUUUCGACAUAAGGUCUUUUUAAACUCCAAAUGAUGCUUACGGUAACUGUUUCUAAUGGUAUAAUUAGCUAAGUUGAAAGAUAUUUUAACUGAAUAAUUUUCUUGAGGUUAGGUAGUAAGAUGACCUAACACCCACUUCUUCACAACCUCUUACAAUAUGUACUAUUUAUUAAAAUGACAUAGUGGCCAAUGUUGUGUUUGAAAAUUGAUGCACAUGUCAAAGGCGUAAUGGCUAGCAUACUCGAAUCUAUUGAUAGAAUUAUUAUUUUUUUUUAAAAAAAAAGAAGAAUGACUUGGCAUUUUGGUUACCCAAACUAAUAGUUUUAUGUUGUCAUGUGGACGAUGAUGCUUACAUUAAAGCUGCUCCUGCUCGAAUUUAAAGUCUCCUGUCACUAAGAACCUUCCAGGAAAAUUUUCAAUGUAAAUUUUGGGAAGUGUGGGAUUUAAUUUUGAAGGAUAUGAUUCUUGUGUAUUUGAUAUGCCCUCAUUAGAAAGAGAACUUGCAGGACUCAUUUGACCAUGUUUGGUCUUAUUUGUCAUUGCUUAAGAGAAAACUUAACAAUCUUACUACUUUAUUUCUUGAUUGGCUGUAAUCUUAGAAAUUAUUACUCUUGAUAAUUUUGACGAGGCAUAGGAUAUCUACAUGGAUCUGGCCUAAAGCAUUGUCUUCCACUAUAGGUGUCUUUUUCUUAUAUGGAAGAAAGAUGAAUGCGCUUAGUAAAGUUCAGAAAGUGCUUACUAUGGCAAAGAAGAAGAAUCCACAAAAUCAUGACUAAAGUGCCAUAGGAAUGCCUCUAAUAGUCACAUUCUAUGGGCUGCUUCAAUUGACAUGGCGCCUUAUCUCGAUCCUCAUGUUAUUGUUGCAGGCAAAAAGUUAUUUGGAAAAAGAGGAAAUUAGACAAAGCUGGACGUAGGUUUAACGUGAUGUUUAUUGUUGCACCAGGUUUAGAACUUCUAGGCAGUGCCUUACUGGUUUGAAGAGCAGCAUGGUAGUAUAUUGUAGAGGAAUGUUGUACUAAAGAACUGUGUUGCUGCCAAACUAAAACAUGAAGAAGGUGCGAGCCAAAUAGGAAGAGGGAAUAAGCCAAGGAGAUGGUAGACAAUUGGAAGCGCUGGAGAAUUCAUAAAGAUAGGGUUGGUUAGAGAAGAUGAUGAGAACAAUGUCAAUUACAACUGGGAAUCCUUUUCUUGCAACUACUUUUUCUUCCACAUGUAGCCAAACAAACAAUUUUUAUAUCCUUUGGUGUUUGAAACCUUAUAGUUUAAGAUUUUAUUUGCAUAUGCUACUGCCAAAAUAACUUUUUGUACAUGUAUUAGUUAUGUUGGGCAAUUGUUAGCUUUUUUGACCUA